AUGGAGUGCAGAUCCGGGGAAGCUCGGAUGAGUUGUAGGAAACCAGAUGUGGAGGCUGAGGUUGAAUGUAAUAUUUAUUCUGCUCAUUCCAUUGGUCCAGACUCUACCCUCCCUCCGCCUGUCUUGACCAUCUUCCCUCCGUCCAGCGAUGAGUUGAAGUCCAGCAAAGUCACCCUGGUGUGUCUGGCCAGUCAGAUGGCCAUGGGCUACGCUGAUGUCAGCUGGACAGCGGGAGGGAAUCCGGUCACCGGCGGCAUCGCUACGAGUGGCCCGGUGCCGCAAGCCGACAAGACGUUCCAACUCAGCAGCUGUCUGACCGUUGACACGUCAGAAUGGAACCAGGACAAAGUGUUCUCAUGUAAAGUCACCGCGGGCUCCAAGUUCGCUGAGAAAGACAUCAAGAAGUCUGUAUGCAGCACUGAAUAGCCUGAGAACCAUUGUAAUGUCCAGUUGAUUUUCUACAUUUUCAAGAUAUUGUUAGAAUUAGAAUUUUUCUUUGCAUAUAUACUGCAUACAUUCUGUUCCAAAAAAGAGAGAAAUAGCUCCUAAUACUUAUAUCAUAGGCUAUAUGAUAAGUUUGAAAUUAAUUGAUUUGCUGACUUAUAAUAGAGGAAUAGUUAGAGCUUUGCUGUAUUGUGGAUAUUAAAUAAAGAACAUUCUAAAGAACAA